AUGGCCAGGCAGCAGCAGCGGGAGGGGGACGGCGGCAAGGGGAAGGCGGCGGCCCGCUGGAACUGGAACCGGAGGACCAGCGCCGAGGGCCUGCCGCACGGGAUCGUCCAGACCAGCUCCGACAUGUUCCUCCGCCCGCUCUGGGACCCCGCCGCCAAGCGCGCCAUCCCCAAGGUCCGCUCCCCCCUUAUUAUCCCGGCGCUCAUUUCUCACGGCGACGCCAAAUUUGAGCUUUUACUAGUGUACCAGAGGCUGACCAGGUACUCCAUUGACAUCUCUAGCUCCCACAUGUCGCCCCUAGGCUGGAGUGCCCUCUCGUGGGCGAUCGGCAUCCUCCUGGUGGCGCCGCUCCUCACCCAGGUUGCGCACCACCUUGACCGUGGCCAGUACCAGUCGCUCAUCCUCAUCGCUGUGAUGUCGUUCGGCUCCUUCGGCCUGCUCACUGGCUUUAUCAAAACGGUCUGGGUGUUCCUGUUCUACAUCCUCUUCAUCACUGCAUCCAUCAUCAUUGUUGAGGCGGUGCACACCCGCAACCUCGGGCUGGUGAUCCGCGGCCUCGCCACUCAUGACUCGGGCAAGCACCUUGUCCUGCGCCGCGCGCUGCUGCUAGCCAGCUCAGCCUCUACUGCACCGCCAUCAGCGGCAUCAGCGCUGCCCUCAUGGCUGCAUUCAUGUACCACAUGCCGAGGCGCACUGACUAGAUCACCGGCCUCUGGGUCGUUUCCAUCUCCAAUGGCAGAGCUGAAGGCAUAUGGCAGUGCUAUGCAGAAGGUUCUCCAUGUUGGCCCAGAUAGUUGUACAGUAAUUUCUAACUUGUUGAAAGAAGGGAAGGAAGCAUGGGGAGUGGAGCCUUAUGAUUUGGAGGAUGCUGCUCGUGCUGGGAGUGAUUAUUCUGAUCAUCUAUUUCAACAGCGGCUUAGGGGUGUUGCAAACUCUUAG
rnacentral:rRNA from 1 species